GGCAGCGCGAGAGGGAGCCCACUCGCUCUGCACCGCCAAGACUGGACAGCCUUCGGAGAAUGGCGCCUGCCUGCCCAAGGCACUCUUAACCGUGCUUGACCGGCCUCCAGCCAAGCCCGUUAGCAGACACCUGUCGCCACCGCUCCCCGCUGCUGAAUGCCCGAGCACCCCGUUCACACGCAACUCCAGGGGCACCUUCCACGGCAGGUGCCUCAGAAAGCUUCCAGCGACGAAAAGUGGUUUCGGGAAAGAAUGUGGUGAGGAGGGAAAGGCAGGGGGAGCUGGCCAGUCCCCUCCAGUGCUUUGAUCAGGAUGAAUGACCUUGGUUGUGAAGUAAAGGAACUUGGCGCGGCCCUCCCCUGCAUCCUGGCCCUUGGCCACSGAGGAGUAAGCAAUAAAAUGUCCAAAAC